rnacentral:rRNA from 1 species
UGAGUACGUAGUUUGAUCUUGGCUACAGGACGAACGCUGGCGGCAUGCCUAACACAUGCAAGUCGAACGGAGAAAAGGAGCUUGCUUCUUUUUCUUAGUGGCGGACGGUGAGUAACGCGUGGGUAACCUGCCUUACACAGGGGGAUAACAGUUAGAAAUGACUGCUAAUACCGCAUAACCCGCUAGUACCGCAUGGUACAGACGGAAAAGAUUUAUCGGUGUAAGAUGGACCCGCGUCUGAUUAGCUGGUUGGUGGGGUAACGGCCUACCAAGGCAACGAUCAGUAGCCGGCCUGAGAGGGUGACCGGCCACAUUGGGACUGAGACACGGCCCAAACUCCUACGGGAGGCAGCAGUGGGGAAUAUUGCACAAUGGGGGAAACCCUGAUGCAGCGACGCCGCGUGAGUGAAGAAGUAUUUCGGUAUGUAAAGCUCUAUCAGCAGGGAAGAAAAUGACGGUACCUGACUAAGAAGCCCCGGCUAACUACGUG